rnacentral:rRNA from 1 species
AGGGGUUGAUCAUGGGUGAGAACGAACGCUGGCGGCGUGCCUAACACAUGCAAGUCGGACGGAGUGUAUUAGGUAGUAAUAUUUAGUGCACUUAGUGGCGCACGGGUGAGUAACACGUAGGCAACCUAUCCUUAGGAGGGGGAUAACUCAGGGAGACUUGAGCUAAUACCGCAUAAGAACCAGGGACUGGGAUGUUAGUGGGUAAAAGGAGGUUCCUACUUAAGGAGGGUUUUGCGGCCAAUCAGGAAGUUUGGGAGGCAAUGCCUCACCAAGCCUAUGACGGGUAGCCGGUCUGAGAGGACGGACGGCCACACUGGAACUGAGACACGGUCCAGACUCCUACGGGAGGCAGCAGUGGGGAAUAUUGCACAAUGGGCGGAAGCCUGAUGCAGCGACGCCGCGUGGAGGAAGAAGGCCUUCGGGUUGUAAACUUCUUUUGUAGGGGAAAAUAGUGAUGGUACCCUAUGAAUAAGCCACGGCUAACUCUGUGCCAGCAGCCGCGGUAAGACAGAGGUGGCGAGCGUUGUUCGGAAUUACUGGGCUUAAAGGGCGCGUAGGUGGUGGUAUAAGUCUGAGGUGGAAUUCUGCGGCUUAACCGUAGGAUUGCCUUGGAGACUGUAUUUACUUGAGUCGGGACCCGGGCGGGGACGGGGAUUUCCGGUGUAGCGGUGAAAUGCGUAGAUAUCAGGAAAAAAGGCCUGUGGCGAAGCGCGCCUUCUGGGGCCUGGACGGCCACUGAGGGCGGAAAAGCUGGGGGAGCCACCGGGAUAGAUACCCUGGAAUUCCACGCCCUAAACGUGGGCCAUAAGGUGUGGGAUUCUGUAAGGGUUCUGUGCCGUAGCGAAAGCGUUAAAUGCCCCGCCUGGGGAGUACGGCCGCCAAGUUGAAACUCAAAGGAAUUGACGGGGGCCCGCACCAAGCGGUGGAGCAUGUGGUUUAAUUCGACGCAACGCGAAAGACCCUUACCUGGUUUGACAUGUUAGUGGUAAAGACCCGAAAGGGCGAUGACCUGUAGCAAUACAGGAGCUAACACAGGUGCUGCAUGGCUGUCGUCAGCUCGUGCCGUGAGGUGUUGGGUUAAGUCCCGCAACGAGCGCAACCCUUAUCCUCUGUUGCCUGAGAGGGCUCUCUGAGGAAACUGCCACCCCCACCAACAAGCUGGAGGAAGGUGGGGAUGACGUCAAGUCUUCUCAUGGCCCUUAUGUUCCCGGGGGGCCCCCCGGCUACAAAAGGGUUCUUCCAGAGGGGGAGGUAAACCGUGAGGUAGGAGCCCAUCCCCUAAAAGUAGUUUCCCACCCCUAAAGAUCUCAGGGGGACGGAUUUCCCCCCCCCCCGGACUGAAACGUAUAUCGGGUCAGCUACGCCGCGGUGAAUACGUUCCCGGGCCUUGUACACACCGCCCGUCACACCACGAAAGUCUGUUGUACCCGAAGUUGGUGAGCUAACCGCAAGGAGGCAGCCAUCGAAGGUAUGGCCGAUGAUUGGGGUUUUGUCGUAACAAGGUAGCCGUA